rnacentral:rRNA from 1 species
AGGGAUUGCCCCAGUAACGGCGAGUGAAGCGGCAACAGCUCAAAUUUGAAAUCUGGCUCUCGGGCCCGAGUUGUAAUUUGUAGAGGAUGCUUUUGGUGAGGUGCCUUCCGAGUUCCCUGGAACGGGACGCCAUAGAGGGUGAGAGCCCCGUCUGGUUGGACGCCGAACCUCUGUAAAGCUCCUUCGACGAGUCGAGUAGUUUGGGAAUGCUGCUCUAAAUGGGAGGUAUAUGUCUUCUAAAGCUAAAUACCGGCCAGAGACCGAUAGCGCACAAGUAGAGUGAUCGAAAGAUGAAAAGAACUUUGAAAAGAGAGUUAAACAGUACGUGAAAUUGUUGAAAGGGAAGCGCUUGUGACCAGACUUGGGCUUGGUUGAUCAUCCGGGGUUCUCCCCGGUGCACUCUUCCGGCUCAGGCCAGCAUCAGUUCGCCCUGGGGGAUAAAGGCAUCGGGAACGUGGCUCUCUCCGGGGAGUGUUAUAGCCCGUUGCGUAAUACCCUGUGGCGGACUGAGGUUCGCGCAUUCGCAAGGAUGCUGGCGUAAUGGUCAUCAGUGACCCGUCUUGAAACACGGACCAAGGAGUCGUCUUCGUAUGCGAGUGUUCGGGUGUCAAACCCCUACGCGAAAUGAAAGUGAACGCAGGUGAGAGCUUCGGCGCAUCAUCGACCGAUCCUGAUGUUAUCGGAUGGAUUUGAGUAAGAGCAUACGGGGCCGGACCCGAAAGAAGGUGAACUAUGCCUGUGUAGGGUGAAGCCAGAGGAAACUCUGGUGGAGGCUCGCAGCGGUUCUGACGUGCAAAUCGAUCGUCAAACAUGGGCAUGGGGGCGAAAGACUAAUCGAACCU